AGGUGCUGCAUGGCUGUCGUCAGCUCGUGUUGUGAAAUGUUGGGUUAAGUCCCGCAACGAGCGCAACCCUUAUCCUUUGUUGCCAGCGGUCCGGCCGGGAACUCAAAGGAGACUGCCAGUGAUAAACUGGAGGAAGGUGGGGAUGACGUCAAGUCAUCAUGGCCCUUACGACCAGGGCUACACACGUGCUACAAUGGCGCAUACAAAGAGAAGCGACCUCGCGAGAGCAAGCGGACCUCAUAAAGUGCGUCGUAGUCCGGAUUGGAGUCUGCAACUCGACUCCAUGAAGUCGGAAUCGCUAGUAAUCGUGGAUCAGAAUGCCACGGUGAAUACGUUCCCGGGCCUUGUACACACCGCCCGUCACACCAUGGGAGUGGGUUGCAAAAGAAGUAGGUAGCUUAGCCUUCGGGAGGGCGCUUACCACUUUGUGAUUCAUGACUGGGGUGAAGUCGUAACAAGGUAACCGUAGGGGAACCUGCGGUUGGAUCACCUC
rnacentral:rRNA from 1 species